rnacentral:rRNA from 1 species
GAUGAACGCUGGCGGCGUGCCUAAUACAUGCAAGUCGAGCGAACAGACGAGGAGCUUGCUCCUCUGACGUUAGCGGCGGACGGGUGAGUAACACGUGGAUAACCUACCUAUAAGACUGGGAUAACUUCGGGAAACCGGAGCUAAUACCGGAUAAUAUAUUGAACCGCAUGGUUCAAUAGUGAAAGACGGUUUUGCUGUCACUUAUAGAUUGAUCCGCGCCGCAUUAGCUAGUUGGUAAGGUAACGGCUUACCAAGGCAACGAUGCGUAGCCGACCUGAGAGGGUGAUCGGCCACACGGGAACUGAGACACGGUCCAGACUCCUACGGGAGGCAGCAGUAGGGAAUCUUCCGCAAUGGGCGAAAGCCUGACGGAGCAACGCCGCGUGAGUGAUGAAGGUCUUCGGAUCGUAAAACUCUGUUAUUAGGGAAGAACAAAUGUGUAAGUAACUAUGCACGUCUUGACGGUACCUAAUCAGAAAGCCACGGCUAACUACGUG